AGAGUUUGAUCCUGGCUCAGAGUGAACGCUGGCGGUAGGCCUAACACAUGCAAGUCGAACGGCAGCACAGGAGAGCUUGCUCUCUGGGUGGCGAGUGGCGGACGGGUGAGGAAUACAUCGGAAUCUACUCUGUCGUGGGGGAUAACGUAGGGAAACUUACGCUAAUACCGCAUACGACCUACGGGUGAAAGUGGGGGACCGCAAGGCCUCACGCGAUUGAAUGAGCCGAUGUCGGAUUAGCUAGUUGGCGGGGUAAAGGCCCACCAAGGCGACGAUCCGUAGCUGGUCUGAGAGGAUGAUCAGCCACACUGGAACUGAGACACGGUCCAGACUCCUACGGGAGGCAGCAGUGGGGAAUAUUGGACAAUGGGCGCAAGCCUGAUCCAGCCAUACCGCGUGAGUGAAGAAGGCCCUCGGGUUGUAAAGCUCUUUUGUUGGGAAAGAAAUCCUGCCGGUUAAUACCUGGCAGGGAUGACGGUACCCAAAGAAUAAGCACCGGCUAACUUCGUGCCAGCAGCCGCGGUAAUUC
rnacentral:rRNA from 1 species